rnacentral:lncRNA from 1 species
UGACAGCGGCAGGCCACAUAGGCAAGGAAGCUGGUGCAUGCAGUGUCUCUGGGCAAGGUUAUGCAACCUUCAUCUCCUCGUCCUCCAGGCAGCACAAGCCAUUGUGGAAUCUCCACCAGGUGUACAGAACGGUGCCUCUGCGUCCUGCCACUCAGGACCUCUCAAGUCCCCGAUGUGAUGGCUCCUCAGCAUGAUCAGGAGAAAUUCCAUGAUCUUGCUUAUUCCUGUCUUGGGAAGUCCUUCUCCAUGUCUAACCAAGAUCUAUAUGGCUAUAGCACCAGCUCUUUGGCUCUUGGCUUGGCAUGGCUAAGUUGGGAGACCAAAAAGAAGAAUGUACUUCAUCUGGUUGGGCUGGAUUCCCUCUGAUAAGCCUUCCCAGUUGACUGAAAGAUGAGGCUAGGCUCUAGCAAGU